AAUAUUGGACAAUGGGCGAAAGCCUGAUCCAGCCAUGCCGCGUGUGUGAAGAAGGUCUUCGGAUUGUAAAGCACUUUAAGUUGGGAGGAAGGGUUGUAGGUUAAUACCCUGCAAUUUUGACGUUACCAACAGAAUAAGCACCGGCUAACUACGUGCCAGCAGCCGCGGUAAUACGUAGGGUGCAAGCGUUAAUCGGAAUUACUGGGAGUAAAGCGUGUGUAGGCGGUUCGGAAAGAAAGAUGUGAAAGCCCCGGGCUUAACCUGGGAAUUGCUUUCAAAACUGACGAGCUAGAGUACGGUAGAGGGUAGUGGAAUUUCCUGUGUAGCGGUGAAAUGCGUAGAUAUAGGAAGGAACAUCAGUGGCGAAGGCGACUACCUGGACUGAUACUGACACUGAGGUGCGAAAGCGUGGGGAGCAAACAGG
rnacentral:rRNA from 1 species